UACGGAGGGUGCAAGCGUUAUCCGGAUUCACUGGGUUUAAAGGGUGCGUAGGCGGGCAGGUAAGUCCGUGGUGAAAUCUCUGAGCUUAACUCAGAAACUGCCAUGGAUACUAUUUGUCUUGAAUAUUGUGGAGGUGAGCGGAAUAUGUCAUGUAGCGGUGAAAAUGCUUAGAUAUGACAUAGAACACCCAUUGCGAAGGCAGCUCACUACACAAUGAUUGACGCUGAGGCACGAAAGCGUGGGGAUCAAACAGG
rnacentral:rRNA from 1 species